rnacentral:tRNA from 1 species
CGUAGCGUGGCCGAGCGGUCUAAGGCGCUGGUUUAAGGCACCAGUCUCUCGGGGGCGUGGGUUCGAAUCCCACCGCUGCCA